rnacentral:rRNA from 1 species
GACGAACGCUGGCGGCGUGCUUAACACAUGCAAGUCGAACGGAAAGGCCCUGCUUUUGUGGGGUGCUCGAGUGGCGAACGGGUGAGUAACACGUGAGUAACCUGCCCUUGACUUUGGGAUAACUUCAGGAAACUGGGGCUAAUACCGGAUAGGAGCUCCUGCUGCAUGGUGGGGGUUGGAAAGUUUCGGCGGUUGGGGAUGGACUCGCGGCUUGUCAGCUUGUUGGUGGGGUAGUGGCUUACCAAGGCUUUGACGGGUAGCCGGCCUGAGAGGGUGACCGGCCACAUUGGGACUGAGAUGCGGCCCAGACUCCUAGGGGAGGGAGCAGUGGGGAAUAUUGCACAGUGGGCGGGAGCCUGAUGCGGCAACGCCGCUUGCGGUGUGACGGCCUUCGGGUUGUAAACCACUUUCGCCUGUGACGAAGCUGGGUUGACGGUAAUGGGUAAAGAAGCGCCGGCUAACUACGUG